GACGAACGCUGGCGGCGUGCUUAACACAUGCCAGUUGAACGGAAAGGCCCUGCUUUUGUGGGGUGCUCGAGUGGCACACGUGUGUGUCACACGUGAGUAACCUGCCCUUGACUUUGGGAUACCUUCAGGAAACUGGGGCUCAUACCGGAUAGGAGCUCCUGCUGCAUGGUGGGGGUUGGACAGUUUCGGCGGUUGGGGAUGGACUCGCGGCUUAUCAGCUUGGUGGUGGGGUAGUGGUUUACCAAGGCUUUGACGGGUAGCUGGCCUGAUAGGGUGACCGGCUACAUCAGCACGGAGAUACGGCCCAUACUCCUACGUGAGGCAGCAGUGGGGAUGAUAGCACGAGGGUCGGAAUCCUGAUGCAGCAACGCCGCGUGCGGGAGGACGGCCUGCGGAUUGUAAACCGCUUUCGCCGGUGACGAAGCGUGAGUGACGGUAAUGAGUAAAUAAGCACCGGCUAGCUACGUG
rnacentral:rRNA from 1 species